AAUAUUGGACAAUGGGCGCAAGCCUGAUCCAGCCAUGCCGCGUGAGUGAUGAAGGCCCUAGGGUUGUAAACUUCUUUUGUACAGGAAUAAACCUACUCUCGUGAGAGUAGCUGAAGGUACUGUACGAAUAAGCACCGGCUAACUCCGUGCCAGCAGCCGCGGUAAUACGGAGGGGGCAAGCGUUAUCCGGAUUUAUUGGGUUUAAAGGGUCCGUAGGCGGACCCGUAAGUCAGUGGUGAAAUCUCAUAGCUUAACUAUGAAACUGCCAUUGAUACUGCGGGUCUUGAGUAAAUUUGAAGUGGCUGGAAUAAGUAGUGUAGCGGUGAAAUGCAUAGAUAUUACUUAGAACACCAAUUGCGAAGGCAGGUCACUAAGAUUUAACUGACGCUGAUGGACGAAAGCGUGGGUAGCGAACAG
rnacentral:rRNA from 1 species